rnacentral:rRNA from 1 species
UACGGAGGGUGCAAGCGUUAAUCGGAAUUACUGGGCGUAAAGCGCACGUAGGCGGCUAUUUAAGUCAGAUGUGAAAGCCCUGGGCUUAACCUGGGAACUGCAUUUGAAACUGGAUGGCUAGAGUACAGCAGAGGACGGUGGAAUUUCAGGUGUAGCGGUGAAAUGCGUAGAGAUCUGAAGGAACAUCAGUGGCGAAGGCGACCGUCUGGGCUGAUACUGACGCUGAGGUGCGAAAGCGUGGGGAGCAAACAGG